CGCAUCUGUGCAUGCAGCAUAUCAAUAAGCGGAGGAAAAGAAACUAACAAGGAUUCCCUUAGUAACGGCGAGUGAAGCGGGAAGAGCUCAAAUUUGAAAUCUUAAAGGGUUUCCCUUUACGAAUUGUAGUUUAAAGAAGUGUUUUCUGUUGAGGUUUUGGUAAAAGUUCUUUGGAAUAGGACAUCAUAGAGGGUGAGAAUCCCGUAUUUGACCAUUAUUUUCAGCUGUGUGAUACACUUUCAAAGAGGUCGGAUUGUUUGGGAAUGCAGUCCAAAAUAGGGUGGUAAAUUUCAUCUAAAGCUAAAUAUUGGCGAGAGACCGAUAGCGAACAAGUACCGUGAGGGAAAGAUGAAAAGAACUUUGAAAAGAGAGUUAAACAGUACGUGAAAUUGUCAAAAGGGAAGCGUUUGACACCAGUGUUGUUUUUCUGAAAAUCAAUUAAAGAACUGUUUAUGCUAAGUUGUUUAGACUUUAUCAGCUAACUGUUUAGUUUUGAGCUUUUCUUUAAUGCACUUUUCAGUUAACAAGUCAACAUCAAUUUCUUUUGCUGUAAAAAAGCUUGAGGAAGGUGGCUUGAGAUUCGUCUUAAGUGUUUAUAGCCUCUUGCCUAUGCAGUCGGAGAGAUUGAGGUCUGCAGCAUAGAUCCUUCGGGGCUAAAUGCAUUUGUGCUAAGUUAUAGCAUUCUAUAGACAACUUGUUGACUAUGAUUUGUCUUGUAGCUUACUCGCUUAUGUUAUUUUACCUACGCUUAGGAUGUUGAUCUCUCACAGUCGAGC
rnacentral:rRNA from 1 species